GAGUAAUGCCUAGGAAUCUGCCUGGUAGUGGGGGACAACGUCUCGAAAGGGACGCUAAUACCGCAUACGUCCUACGGGAGAAAGUGGGGGAUCUUCGGACCUCACGCUAUCAGAUGAGCCUAGGUCGGAUUAGCUAGUUGGUGAGGUAAUGGCUCACCAAGGCGACGAUCCGUAACUGGUCUGAGAGGAUGAUCAGUCACACUGGAACUGAGACACGGNCCANACUCCUACGGGAGGCANCNGUGGGGAAUAUUGGACAAUGGGCGAAAGCCUGAUCCAGCCAUGCCG
rnacentral:rRNA from 1 species